CCUACGGGUGGCAGCAGUGAGGAAUAUUGGUCAAUGGGCGGGAGCCUGAACCAGCCAAGCCGCGUGAGGGAAGAAGGUACAGCGUAUCGUAAACCUCUUUUGUCAGGGAACAAAGGCGGGGACUAGUCCCCGGAUGAGGGUACCUGAAGAAAAAGCAUCGGCUAACUCCGUGCCAGCAGCCGCGGUAAUACGGUGGAUGCGAGCGUUAUCCGGAUUUAUUGGGUUUAACGGGUGCGCAGGCGGCCUGUUAAGUCAGCGGUAAAAGCCCGGGGAUCAACCCCGGCGAGCCGUUGAAACUGGCGGGCUAGAGUUGGAGAGAGGUACGCGGAAUGCGCGGUGAAGCGGUGAAAUGCUUAGAUAUCGCGAAGAACACCGAUGGCGAAGGCAGCGUACCGGCUCCACACUGACGCUGAGGCACGAAAGCGUGGGUAGCGAACAGGAUUAGAUACCCGAGUAGUC
rnacentral:rRNA from 1 species